UACGAAGGGGGCUAGCGUUGCUCGGAAUCACUGGGCGUAAAGCGCACGUAGGCGGCUUUCUAAGUCAGGGGUGAAAUCCUGGAGCUCAACUCCAGAACUGCCUUUGAUACUGGAGAGCUUGAGUCCGGAAGAGGUGAGUGGAACUCCGAGUGUAGAGGUGAAAUUCGUAGAUAUUCGGAAGAACACCAGUGGCGAAGGCGGCCUCACUGGUCCGGUACUGACGCUGACGGUGCGGAAAGCGUGGGGAGCAACAGGGAUUAAGAU
rnacentral:rRNA from 1 species